AGCUCUUGUUUUCACCUAGGUUGCCAGGUGGAUGUUUACUUCCAAAGCAGAUGUCUCCUUCCCCCUGCCUGGAUCCCACUGCCCAUGGACAGUGUGGCUGCUAGCACGUUUGCAACACCUGGUUCCCCCCAUGAUUAACGCUCAGAGCUAUAUCGGUCUGUGGCUCUGUGGGUUAAAUCUGAGGCAACACCGUGUGUGUCUUUUAUUUUAGUUUCCAGACAGACUAUGCAGAUACGGGUGGUAGAAGCAUUAUAUAUGCCUUUGAGAUGCAAACCUAUAAAGAGAAUGCACCAAAAUCUACUAACCUUGUAUCAGUUGUAAAUAAGGAAAUCUCUCUCGUGUCUUUUUUUAAUUCUUUUGGGGGGAUUUUAUCUAUAAAUUGAGAAUGUUAAGGGAGUUUACCUCACUGCAGGUAUACCUAGCACUUUUAUUGUGAUGGAGCAUAGAUUGCACCAUGAUUUCUGAAGAGGCUGCUCUUUAAAGAGAUUUGGAUGAAAAGAAAUCAAAGUCGUUACUGCAGAAGAGGAGAAGCUCAGCAAUCAAACUGAAGGCAGGGCAUGGAAUAUUACACAAACUGAGCAUCGAAACUCUCAGAUGUGGCUUUCCUUCCACACCCAAAGGAGUUCACAAUGCUAUGGCUGUUUCCAAUCAUAAAAAUUCAGAACCAAAAUCUUCCUUUGUUUUCACUGGUGUACAUUCAGAACAAGUUCAGCAAGUUGCUCUGAAUUUACCCAGCUAUAGAGGACAGCUGAUUUCAUUUGAGCUGUACAAGAGACAAUCUUAUUUUCUUUCCCUCGGAUUAGGGUAAGCUUGUCAAUCAGUGCCCAGAGCCAGUCAAUACAACACAGUUGUGCCAGGUAAGAAAUGCACUUGACAAACUGUCAUAAUACCCAUUACUUCUGUUCUCUCUUAACCAGCCCUGACCACUGGAGGAAGGCUGAGCAUUUUGGGUUUGUAUGUACCCUAAGCUGUUAGUUAUAAGUCACAAUCAUGACAGCAGCUUAAAUGACAGCAAUUAAUAUUUCUCUAAAAUACUGCUUUUUUUCUCUUCAUUAACCAAUGCAACAAUCAACAGGCUGAUGCACAAAAUGAUAAAAGAGAUGUCUAAUAAGAAAAGGGAAAUUGGUUAUUAUUCUUGCCGUUUAAAUCUCCUGGAGCAGAAUUGGCUAUUGCUAUAAAAUCUGUGGAAUUAUCCUUGCUAUUUCAACUUGCCAAACCAACCUUUUACCCCUUUAAAUUCAGGUCUUUAGAGUAACGUGCCAAAAUAAUCUCUUGGCACCACUGAGGUGAGGAUCCACGUUGUGCUGCUCUUGUAACUUCCCUGCUCAUAGAACCAUUCAUCCUGGAAAGAUUUUGACUGGAAACUUGUGCUUUUAACUCUUUUAGCAACUUUUGAAAAUAUUGCCUUGCUAUCUUGUGGGAAAUGUUCAUGCCGUAAUGUACCAUGACGAUGGUUGUUGUGGAGAGUGUAAAGAAACAUUUAAAUAGAAAUUACAGCUGGAAAUGAAGGUUUGUAAGGAAAAGCCAAAUGAUAGGACUUACCUUCCAAAUCUUAAGGGCAAAGAGAGUCAUUUGGCCCUUUUCUUGGAUGUAGCUGGGCAAGGGAAAGAAAUGCCAAGUCUCAUAUGAUCUUAAUUAUACACUGUGGGUGCCAGCAGCUUCCAGGGUACGUGUGGAUUCUUGACUGAGGCUCAGUGUGUGAACUUUGUCACUGGAGGAGUAUGUCACACACAGAGCUGGGACAUGAGCCAUCAUUCACAAUUCAAACAAACCCCAAGCCCUUCAGAGAUUGAAAAGAAAUGUUCAGUUAACCAUAAAAACUGUGGCAUGAUUCUCCAUACCCUAGUGCCCUUUGGGAGCAGAAAUACUUCAAGCUCCAAAAUCAGGCCUUCUUGUGAGGCUUUUUGACUAGACUGGAACCAUCAACUAUUCAAACCAUUGUACAAAAUCCCGCUCUUUCGCAACUCCCAGGAGUUUUUUCCUAGACCAGGAGCACUAUAAUUCUAGGCUAUAGAUGCAAGUCCACAAUCUCCCUCUGAAACCUCCGCCUUGAUUUCUGGGGUGGCUCGGCAGACGGUGACUUUGGCUAUGACAGAGCCUGGAGGUCCAUGCCUUGCUCUGGGCUGGAGCUGGCAGUGAAGCAAAGGGGCAGGUGCCGGGCGCAGGAUGCUCUCAUUGUUACCGUCUGCAGCAAAAGUGUCUGUUCCCCAUCAAGUUUCAACAAGAACAUGUAGGUGAAAGAGAUGCUGUUGGGAACGUUUCAUUUUUGCAGAUAUUUGGCCUUUGGAUUGUGUGUUGACUGAAGACCUGCAAGACUUCACCUGUCUGGGUAUAAGCACUCAGUGGGUUGGGCAGCAACCCUUGAGCAUGGGAGAUGGUGCAGCUGCCUCCAUCCUCCCACUGAGAGCCACCAGUGCUACAGCGAGAUGGCAGGCGGGUUGCACCCUCACCUGCAGGACGCAUCUUAGUUUGCUCUCACAAAGGGAAUGUUGUUGUGAGGAGCAACUGCUGUGUUUCAGCAGGAAAGUGUGUUUCAUGAUGCCUCUGGAAGUGAAGUUAGGCUGGCUUCAUAUUUCCACCCGAGCUGUGUCUGGGAGGAGCAGAGCUCGGAGGGGUGUUCGUGUGCUCCUCUGAGAUUGCAUCCUCAGCAGAAAGUGUAAACAACUGGGGGGAUGUUCCUGUGGCCAGCUGUGUGCUAGCAAAUUUACUGUUCUCAUGAUCAGCGAUAAAGGUUUUGCUGCUGCUCAGAAAUAUACCGAAGGUUCAGACCAGAAUGAAAAGCAGUUCUGCACGCGGUUGUUCACAUUGCGUGCUCUUUUCUGUGCACGAGGGCUCUUUGUACUGUCUUCAGGGGGAGAAAGUCUGCUGUGGAAAUCCAUCAUGUCCUAGCAGUUUAGUAGAAUUACAGGGAACAUGCUUACUUACCUAAAAGAACAAAUGUGAACAUAUGGAGAUAGCCUUUUUUUUCCUUAACCUUAGGAAGUACCAGCAAAGAUUUUCAUGUUUGUAAAUUGUCAUUUUCUUAGAGCAAAGCCUUAUGGAAAAGUCAAGCGGUUUUUUUAUGAAAGAUGUGAUGGAAACGAUUACAGCUCUGAUCCUCAUUAUUGCUUGAAAAACAGAGGUAGCAGCAGAGGGGGGAAAGUAAGCACCAAAGGUCAGGUAUGAGCCACAGGAAAAAUGAUGGGGCAUCAUCAGAGUUUUCUUUGGCUUCCCGAGGUCCCUACCUGUCCUUCCAGGCAAGACGGUCCUUUCUUCAUUGGCUCUUGUGUGGAUCUGUCCUCUGAUGGCUGAGCCAAUUGCUCCUCUCAGAAGCGACCAACACAAGAAUAUCUUUGCUCGUGAGGAACACAUCUGGGCAAACGCUAUUAUCUUUCUCUGUCCUGCUUGCUCUAACUCUCAGCUCCUUUUGACUUGGAAGGGGAGAGAUUGGCCUUUCAGUGUAUGAAAUGCCAGCUGGGAUCAAAUCAAUGCCAUUGAUUUAAUCUUGCGCCUCCAAAGAGCUGGGAUUUUUCCUUUUAAUUUUUUUUUUUCCUCUGGCUCUAUUCUUUGAGAAGUAGAAGAGCAAAACAAAGGCGUUGAGUGCUGCCAGUGGUCCUCAGGCACAGAGGCCAGAGCCAGAGCUGCAGAGCCCUCCGUGAGUUUGAAUAGCUUUGCUCUUGCUGGACUAAAUCAGGUUCGGAUGUAGGAACUUGAUUUUCACUUUCUGGAUUGGUUUGGUUCGCUGUUUGUAAGCCCUAACAGGACAGGGUCCCCUUGCUUGCUGGUACCAGUCCUACAGCCAGCCCAGGGCUAGAUGCCCAGCUGGUGUAGUUGACAGCAUGCUUUAGAGAGUUAUGCUAGUUUACAGUUGCUGACAUUAUGCCUCUAUAUGUUUUUUUGACAGAUUAUAGUUGUGCCUGCACUGACUGUUAAAGGCAGUCACCACUGACUUCUUUCGCGGCCGGAGCGAGCCCUCAGCAGCAGCAGGGACGGCAGGUUGUCAGUGCAGACCGUUGCACCUGGGAGCAGGCAGUGAGGGUGGGAGGAGGUGCUGCACCCGUCGCUGCUCCGCUCCCCGCUUCUCGGGGCGGUACGGACACAGCCUUUGAGCCAGGAAUCUUAUGGAAGUGGCUUGUAAAGAAGAGCUGUUUCCUGAGGAGGGAUCCGAGCAGAGGCGAUGGAGAGGCAGAGGUGAUACUGCUUCGUGUCAGUGUGUGUCCUGGGCAGGAACGGUCUUUGGACAUGUGCGAGGGGUUGCGGAUGGCAUCACUGCGCAGGCGCUUGGUCAGACGGUCUCACCGUCGAUCGCAGAAACGCCAGUGACAACCCCGGGCGUAUUUGCGUGCUGAAGGUACACGUUGGCUUCUGAAAGAGUUGCCUGACGAAUAACUUGUUUUUCUUUCCUGGCUGCCUGGUGAACAGCUCCUCACCUGCAUUGCUCUCCUAAAUUCUUGGAGGGAGGUCUGGCAGCCAGCACAGCUUUAAUUUCAUAAUUUCACUUCUGCGGUGACUCUGUCGGUUUCUGCUAACUUCCCGAUUAUUCUUUCAGGCUCCAGAAGAAAGCGAUCUCCUCCUAAGCUUCUGUUUUCACACUUCUGAACAGCAGCUACCUCUUCUCAGCCUCUCGAUGUUUCUCCUCAGGGCCCGAAGCUGGGGACCAGCUUAAGCACUAAGCUGCGUGUUCUGCAGCUCUCCGGGUUACACUCGCGGCGUUGGGUUGCACUCUAUGUUUGUUAGCGCAGAGGUGGCUGGCUCACUGGUAAUGGCCUUUUGUACGCGCUGACCUCUGAACCAGAAACAAGACUCAAACCUCCGAGGAGGCCAGUGAUUAAUCAAAUCAGGGAUCAACUGUGACUCAACCUUUAGAUCCCCAGCUGAGGUUGUGUCCAUGGCUGAUUAAAAGAGGAAAAUAUAUUUAGCUAUUUACAACUGUAUCUCCCUCUGGCUGAGGACAAGGCGCCAUGAUAAACAUAUUUAUGUUUGUUAGAUGUACAAAUUGUGGUUCCUUUGAAAACCUCACAGUUUGUCAUAAAGCCUCAGAAAGCACAUGGCUGUUUAUUGACGCUAGAGGACUUCCUGAGACUAUGCCGUGAAGUCGCUGCUCAGAGUAUUUGACGUAGGCUAGCAUGUCCACAAGGGAAAAAAGCCCAGAUGUUGCCAUCUGCACAUGAAAGACUAAAGGUGGCUUUAAGCAGCCCUCUGUAGGAGAUAAUUUUCUCCCUUCAAUUAGGUUACACUUUCUCGAUGCCGCCCUUUAGAAGCCUACAGUGUUCCCAAGGCCAGCUCUACAGUUAUUCAGUGGUGAACAGAACAUAUAAACUUCAUAUUUCUAAUACAUUUCACAGUGCUGUGUGUUAUUAGCAAACUCCAAAUAGCUGUCAGGACCUCAAGGUAUUCUGGAACAUCCUUUGAUGCUACAAAGUAAUGCAUUUUCCAUAUUAUUCCUUUGAACACAUUAUAUAUGCAAAGUCUAGCACUUCUUAUAGGAGAGGUGGAAUUAUCAUACAAUAAGAUAUUUUUUCCUCUAGUUCUUUCAUGGCUCAUAACAUAUAAAAUUUCUUCUUAAAAUCCAGGCUAGGAACUCAAACUUAAUUUAUACAGUAUUGAAAACAUUACAGGGCAUAAAUCAGUUCAAUUUUUAAAGUUCCUGUAUGAUAUUUUCAGAGCAGCCAAAUUCCUUCAUUCGCCUGGACUCCUUCCAAAAUUCUGCCAGCGCUCAUGGAAAUCUAAAUAACUUUAGAGAAAAAGCAGGUUUUCUGUGAAGGCUCAGAUUACUCUGUCACCCUUCCUCCACUGCAGACAGGCCUCUGAUAAACAUGGAGAAUAGGGACAGGGAAAUUACUUCAUUACUUCAUGUCCUUUUCAAUUACAAACAUCGAGGAGCCUGAGCCUCCUGCCAGCUCACGCCCCAGACCCUUGCAAAUUUGUGGCUUUCAAGAGCCAACAGUUGCAUUUCCUUUGCCAGCAGGGAUAAGCGAUAGAAAGCGAGCAGAGGAGCUCACUUGAAUUUUAUUUCUGAGUGUUAUUUAAAAAGUUUCAAAUCUCAGCUCUGUUUAUUUAAAGUUUGACUCCAGCUGAAAUGUAAGCCUGUAAACUAGAGAAGUGAUCAAAACAGGGCUGCACCUUUUUUUUUUUUUUUCUGAGAAUUAAUCACUUAGUGGUGAUGUGUUACUGUAAUCUUUCUGUGAUCACUUAACCUGGAAGCGGUACUUCCAGAUAGCUUCGUAAUAUUCUCCUGCUGGCAUCUUCAGAUCUACUAUUUGUACUGUUCAUCUGUGUUCAAAGCACACGAGGUUAAUGCAUUGUUUUUCUACCAGUUUGCUUUGUGUUUUGAUUUACACCUAAAGAAACAAGUGUUUUCUUUGAUGUCAUUUUUCCAUUACUGAUGAACUAAUAUUGCAAAAAAAGGCUGUUUAAGGUCUUACUCUGAAGCCUCAUUAUUUCUACAAUUAAAAAAAAAAAAGUAAAACCCAGUUUCAGAACAUUGUGUUACAGAGCGGGGAAAAAAGGUGGCAGGAGUGAAUCUGAUUUUCUACUUUGCGUGUAAAUCUUAUAGGCUCAGCUUCAGCUCGGUGUUUAGGUCUGUGUUAAAAGUCACUGAAAUAGAAGCCCAUGUUUGGGUUAACCAGAGGUAUAUAGCUCUGGGAGGGUUUCCUGAAAGGCAGUUGCAGGGAUUAUUCUGGUCCUCUUUUUUUUACAUGGUAAUUCUGCAGUGUGGGCUCAGGUGACUUGGUAUGUCGGGCUGGUCAGAUGUCUGCCCCACAGUGGUAUAUAACCUGAUCACCUUUGCGAUCACCUGUGUGAUCAGGAGGGAGGGAAGGGAGAAGAGGACAAGGAAAAACGCUGGGGGGUUCUUCAGUGCCUCACGAUUCAGGUUUUGCUUUGAUAUGAAUCCAAAAAUUCAGACAUUCUUGUGAAAUGAAUCUGCAGUGGGUGUGGGUAGAGCAAAGAGCUGAGCACAUGGAAACCAAGAGGCCAUCCAGAAGUUCUCACUGCAGCCUUUCCCAGGUUUUACUUAUUUCUUACUUACACAUUACUUGAACACUUCUGUUUAAGUCGGUGGGAAUUUUUCUAAGUGAAAUUAAAGUGUGGGGAGUUGUUAGUUAGAAGGCGUGCAGCAUCUUUUUCGUGCUAUCAGAGCUUCAUCCCUUGGCUAGAACUCCCCUGGAUUCAGGCUGUGUGUGGGGGGGUAUGUAUGCAUAUGUGUGUGUGUGUGCUUGCUUCUUGAUACUCCCUGCUACCUCUUGGGCCAUAAAUAUUGCGUGAACCACAAUGGAGGCAACCGCAACUGCUGGUAUCAGCCCAAAUGUGGAAGUACAUAAACCAAAAAAAUACUAAGGAAAAGUUCACCAGACUUGAAAACUCCCAGCUGGCCAGGUCAGGGCUUUGGGAGCUGGCUGGAAUGGAUGAUCUGUACCUGAAAUAAUUUUGUGUACUCACUGACUCCCUAAGACAUGACGCCAAAAUUCUUUUUGUGCAUAAUGCUAAGGUCAUAAUGAUGUAGCUAUUUUUUAGUUAAUGGAAAUUUUGGAUGCACUAUAAGCAAUUUUUUCCCUUUAAGAAGGAAAACUGCAGAUGGACCCUCACUCUAUUUGCCGAUGUGUAGUAAGGAAAGGCAUAUCACCCCAAGAAUGCCGAUUGCUGUGACAAAUCACAAGAAGUGGAGAAAGACUUAGUGCCUGCUAAAUUUAGCCUGUGCAAAUCCAGUACAUUCCAAGUCCAUGGAGUGAAAUACUGUUUGGAGUAAAAUAUGAUUGAAACAUUUCUGGGAAUAUAACUCCACUGGCUAGUUUACCACCUGGUCUUAGUUUUCAUAUUGUAGGAGAGGAAUUAAAUUUUUAUUAUUUUUAAAUUAUAGCCCCCCCCCCCCAUCAGUUCUCUUGUCUUCCCACUGAAGCAAGCACUGUUAAGCUGCUAUAACUUUAAGAGCAUGAAAGCAAAUGUUGUAAAGAGGUCACUGUAAAGGUCACGCAGCAGGUUUGAUGUGUCAGUGGAUAAAUGAUGGGAUCACAUCUGGAACAGUUUGGUGAAUAAAUAAAAUGUGAAAGCU